rnacentral:rRNA from 1 species
UACGGGGGGGGCAAGCGUUGUUCGGAAUUACUGGGCGUAAAGGGCUCGUAGGCGGCCAACUAAGUCAGACGUGAAAUCCCUCGGCUUAACCGGGGAACUGCGUCUGAUACUGGAUGGCUUGAGGUUGGGAGAGGGAUGCGGAAUUCCAGGUGUAGCGGUGAAAUGCGUAGAUAUCUGGAGGAACACCGGUGGCGAAGGCGGCAUCCUGGACCAAUUCUGACGCUGAGGAGCGAAAGCGUGGGUAGCGAACAGG